UGAGGAAUAUUGGACAAUGGGCGCAAGCCUGAUCCAGCCAUGCCGCGUGCAGGAAGACGCAUCUAUGGUGUGUAAACUGCUUUUGUACGGGAAGAAACACUCUCUCGUGAGAGAGCUUGACGGUACCGUAAGAAUAAGGAUCGGCUAACUCCGUG
rnacentral:rRNA from 1 species